AAUAGAUACCCUGGUAGUCCACCCCGUAAACGUUGGGAACUAGUUGUGGGGUCCUUUCCACGGAUUCCGUGACGCAGCUAACGCAUUAAGUUCCCCGCCUGGGGAGUACGGCCGCAAGGCUAAAACUCAAAGGAAUUGACGGGGACCCGCACAAGCGGCGGAGCAUGCGGAUUAAUUCGAUGCAACGCGAAGAACCUUACCAAGGCUUGACAUACACCGGAAACGGCCAGAGAUGGUCGCCCCGCAAGGUCGGUGUACAGGUGGUGCAUGGUUGUCGUCAGCUCGUGUCGUGAGAUGUUGGGUUAAGUCCCGCAACGAGCGCAACCCUCGUUCUAUGUUGCCAGCACGUCAUGGUGGGAACUCAUGGGAUACUGCCGGGGUCAACUCGGAGGAAGGUGGGGAUGACGUCAAAUCAUCAUGCCCCUUAUGUCUUGGGCUUCACGCAUGCUACAAUGGCCGGUACAAAGGGCUGCAAUACCGUGAGGUGGAGCGAAUCCCAAAAAGCCGGUCCCAGUUCGGAUUGAGGUCUGCAACUCGACCUC
rnacentral:rRNA from 1 species